rnacentral:rRNA from 1 species
GCUGGCGGCGUGCCUAAUACAUGCCAGUCGAGCGAGCCGAACCAAUUGAUUACCUUCGGGUAUGAAGUUAGGGAAGCGAGCGGCGGAUGGGUGAGUAACACGUGGGUAACCUACCCUAUAGUCUUAGUCUGGGAUACCACUUGGAAACAGGUGCUAAUACCGGAUAAAAGGAGAGAUCACAUGAUUUCUUUUUGAAAGGCGGCGUAAGCUGUCGCUAAAGGAUGGACCCGCGGUGCAUUAGCUAGUUGGUAAGGUAACGGCUUACCAAGGCAACGAUGCAUAGCCGAGUUGAGAGACUGAUCGGCCACAUUGGGACUGAGACACGGCCCAAACUCCUACGGGAGGCAGCAGUAGGGAAUCUUCCACAAUGGACGCAAGUCUGAUGGAGCAACGCCGCGUGAGUGAAGAAGGUUUUCGGAUCGUAAAGCUCUGUUGUUGGUGAAGAAAGAUAGUGAGAGUAACUGCUCAUUAUUUGCCGGUAAUCAACCAGAAAGUCACGGCUAACUACGUGCCAGCAGCCGCGGUAAUACGUAGGUGGCAAGCGUUGUCCGGAUUUAUUGGGCGUAAAGCGAGCGCAGGCGGAAAGAUAAGUCAGAUGUGAAAGCCCUCGGCUUAACCGAGGAAUAGCAUCGGAAACUGUCUUUCUUGAGUGCAGAAGAGGAGAGUGGACCUCCCAUGUGUAGCGGUGGAAUGC